UACGUAGGGGGCUAGCGUUGCUCGGAAUUACUGGGCGUAAAGCGCGCGUAGGCGGCUUUCUAAGUCGGGGGUGAAAUCCUGGAGCUCAACUCCAGAACUGCCUUCGAUACUGGAGAGCUUGAGUCCGGGAGAGGUGAGUGGAACUGCGAGUGUAGAGGUGAAAUUCGUAGAUAUUCGCAAGAACACCAGUGGCGAAGGCGGCUCACUGGCCCGGUACUGACGCUGAGGUGCGAAAGCGUGGGGAGCAAACAGG
rnacentral:rRNA from 1 species